rnacentral:rRNA from 1 species
GACGAACGCUGGCGGCGUGCCUAAUACAUGCAAGUCGAGCGAUGAUUAAAGAUAGCUUGCUAUUUUUAUGAAGAGCGGCGAACGGGUGAGUAACGCGUGGGAAAUCUGCCGAGUAGCGGGGGACAGCGUUUGGAAACGAACGCUAAUACCGCAUAACAAUGAGAAUCGCAUGAUUCUUAUUUAAAAGAAGCAAUUGCUUCACUACUUGAUGAUCCCGCGUUGUAUUAGCUAGUUGGUAGUGUAAAGGACUACACAGGCGAUGAGACAUAGCCGGCCUGAGAGGGUGAUCGGCCACACUGGGACUGAGACACGGCCCAGACACCUACGGGAGGCAGCAGUAGAGAAUCUUCGGCAAUGGGGGCAACCCUGACCGAGCAACGCCGCGUGAGUGAAGAAGGUUUUCGGAUCGUAAAACUCUGUUGUUAGAGAAGAACGUUAAGUAGAGUGGAAAAUUACUUAAGUGACGGUAUCUAACCAGAAAGGGACGGCUAACUACGUGCCAGCAGCCGCCGCAG